GGAUGGGACUGGGAGGGACUGGGUUAUACUGGGAGGGACUGGGAGGGACUGGGAUGAGAUUGGGAUCGACUGGGAUGGGACUGGGAUGGGACUGGGAUGGAAGUGGGUUAUACUGGGAUGGGACUGGGCUAUACUGGGAUGGACUGGGAGGGACUGGGAUGGGACUGAGAUGGGACUGGGUUAUACUGGGAAGGACUGGGAUGGACUGGGAUGGGACUGGGAGGGACUGGGUUAUACUGGGAGGGACUGGGAGGGACUGGGAUGGACUGGGAUGGACUGGGAUGGGAGUGGGUUAUACUGGGUUAUACUGGGAUGGGACUGGGAUGGACUGGAAGGGACUGGGAUGGGACUGGGAUGGGACUGGUUUAUACUGGGAUGGACUGGAAGGGACUGGGCUGGGACUGGGUUAUACUGGGAUGGACUGGGAUGGGACUGGGAGGGACUGGGAGGGACUGGUUUAUACUGGGAGGGACUGGGAGGGGCUAUACUGGUCCAUGCUGAUUGAUACUGGUCCAUACUGGUUGAUACUGGUCGAUACUGGUCUAUACUGGUCGAAACAGUGUUCUAUACUGGUCCAUGCUGGUCUAUAUUGGUUGAUACUGGUCUAUACUGGUCUAUACUGGUCAAUACUGGUCUAUACUGGUCCAUAGUGGUCUAUACUGGUCCAUACUGGUCCAUACUGGUCGAUACUGGUCUAUACUGGUUGAUACCGGUCUAUACUGGUCCAUACUGGUCGAAACAGCGGUCAAUACUGGUCCAUGCAGGUCUAUACUGGUUGAUACU
rnacentral:lncRNA from 1 species